rnacentral:tRNA from 1 species
GCCUGGGUGGCUCAGUCAGUUGAGCGUCUGACUUUGGCUCAGGUCACAAUCCCAGAGUCCUGGGAUCAAGCCCAGCAUUAGGCU